rnacentral:rRNA from 1 species
GAUGAACGCUGGCGGCGUGCCUAAUACAUGCAAGUCGAGCGAACAGAUAAGGAGCUUGCUCCUUUGAAGUUAGCGGUGGACGGGUGAGUAACACGUGGGUAACCUACCUAUAAGACUGGGAUAACUUCGGGAAACCGGAGCUAAUACCGGAUAACAUUUAGAACCGCAUGGUUCUAAAGUGAAAGAUGGUUUUGCUAUCACUUAUAGAUGGACCCGCGCCGUAUUAGCUAGUUGGUAAGGUAACGGCUUACCAAGGCGACGAUACGUAGCCGACCUGAGAGGGUGAUCGGCCACACUGGAACUGAGACACGGUCCAGAGUCCUACGGGAGGCAGCAGUAGGGAAUCUUCCGCAAUGGGCGAAAGCCUGACGGAGCAACGCCGCGUGAGUGAUGAAGGGUUUCGGCUCGUAAAACUCUGUUAUUAGGGAAGAACAAAUGUGUAAGUAACUGUGCACAUCUUGACGGUACCUAAUCAGAAAGCCACGGCUAACUACGUG